CCUACGGGAGGCAGCAGUGGGGAAUAUUGCACAAUGGGGGAAACCCUGAUGCAGCGACGCCGCGUGAGUGAAGAAGUAAUUCGUUAUGUAAAGCUCUAUCAGCAGGGAAGAAAAUGACGGUACCUGAGUAAGAAGCCCCGGCGAACUACGUUCCAGCAGCCGCGGUAAUACGUAGGGGGCAAGCGUUAUCCGGAUUUACUGGGUGUAAAGGGAGCGUAGACGGCAGUGCAAGUCUGGAGUGAAAGGCUGGGGCUCAACCCCCGGACUGCUCUGGAAACUGUACGGCUGGAGUGCAGGAGAGGUAAGUGGAAUUCCUAGUGUAGCGGUGAAAUGCGUAGAUAUUAGGAGGAACACCAGUGGCGAAGGCGGCUUACUGGACUGUAACUGACGUUGAGGCUCGAAAGCGUGGGGAGCAAACAGGAUUAGAUACCCGAGUAGUC
rnacentral:rRNA from 1 species